GCUCGCGGUAAGCAGGAUCCACCCGAGUAGCGGGGACCGAAUCCCAUCUUUCUUAUCUCUCGAAGACUCCUUUCAGGCUGAGAUCAGAGAGGGAGGGAAAAAGAAGAGAGAAUCAUUGUUCUUCUUUUUUUAAUUUAAUAUACCAAGCCACCAGCUCAGAAGGCUUCAUUUGCUCUGAGUUAUCAUUGAGAACUAAAUGGAGAAGAAAAGAACUGAAGGCCUGAAGAUAUGUCAUCUGUAGAAAAGGUGGCCUCUUCUCAAGCUUUCUUGGCAAAUCAAGAGCUUCUGCCUUUUGGAGGACAUCCUCUUGACCUCCCACCCAUAUCAGCUCUUAGAGGACAUUCCACAGGAACAUUGCCUUCUUGUCCUCCAGUAUUUUUUAUGGAAACAGAAAUUAGGUUAUCUUCCUUAUGCUCUAGAUGGACAUCUGAAAUCAUCAAACCCUUGAGAGAAACAGCCCUCAUUCUUUUAUGAGACAACCUGGAAGAAAACAGGACUCUGAAGAUUUGUCUCCAUAUUCUCUGGAAAGAUGUACUCUGUUUGCAAUAAGAGGGAGCCACAUGGUUUAUUAGAUGGUUAUUAAUUGAGCAUUCUGUGCAAAGAAGUUUGUGCCUUAGAUUUAGAAUUCCACCCUCAGUUGGAAUACAGAUGAUCCCUAACAAGUCACAUGAAAAAAUGAACUGUGGAGCCAGAAGAGUGAGUUCUUGGAGAACUAAGGGCCAGAGACCUGUGAGCAAGAUUUGAUAAUUUUAUAAAAAUUAAAAGACGAUUUGAAAUGU
ensembl:lncRNA LINC01210 long intergenic non-protein coding RNA 1210